rnacentral:rRNA from 1 species
GAGACAGCAGCCGCCGCGGUAAUACGUAGGUGGCAAGCGUUGUCCGGAAUUAUUGGGCGUAAAGGGCUCGCAGGCGGUUUCUUAAGUCUGAUGUGAAAGCCCCCGGCUCAACCGGGGAGGGUCAUUGGAAACUGGGAAACUUGAGUGCAGAAGAGGAGAGUGGAAUUCCACGUGUGGCGGUGAAAUGCGUAGAGAUGUGGAGGAACACCAGUGGCGAAGGCGACUCUCUGGUCUGUAACUGACGCUGAGGAGCGAAAGCGUGGGGAGCGAACAGGAUUAGAUACCCCUGUAGUCCCUGUCUCUUAUAC